rnacentral:rRNA from 1 species
GACAGAGGGUGCAAACGUUGUUCGGAAUUACUGGGCGUAAAGCGCGUGUAGGCGGCUUGGCAAGUCGGGUGUGAAAGCCCCGGGCUCAACCUGGGAAGUGCACUCGAAACUGCUUGGCUUGAGUACUGGAGAGGGAAGCGGAAUUCUCGGUGUAGAGGUGAAAUUCGUAGAUAUCGAGAGGAACACCGGUGGCGAAGGCGGCUUCCUGGUCCGGAACUGACGCUGAGGUGCGAAAGCGUGGGGAGCAAACAGG